UACAGAGGAGCCAAGCGUUGUCCGGAUUGACUGGGCGUAAAGCGCACGCAGGCGGUUGCGCGCGUGGGGUGUGAAAUCUGGCCGCUUAACGGCCAGGCGCCAUCCCAUACGGCGCGACUGGAGUGAUGCAGAGGUCGAUGGAAUUGCCGGUGUAGUGGUGAAAUGCGUAGAUAUCUGGAGGAACACCGGUGGCGAAGGCGGCAUCCUGGACCAACACUGACGCUGAUGAGCGAAAGCCAGGGGAGCAAAGCGGG
rnacentral:rRNA from 1 species